rnacentral:rRNA from 1 species
UACGGGGGGGGCAAGCGUUGUUCGGAAUUACUGGGCGUAAAGGGCUCGUAGGUGGCCAACUAAGUCAGACGUGAAAUCCCUCAGCUUAACUGGGGAACUGCGUCUGAUACUGGAUGGCUUGAGAUUGGGAGAGGGAUGCGGAAUUCCAGGUGUAGAGGUGAAAUGCGUAGAUAUCUGGAGGAACACCGGUGGCGAAGGCGGCAUCCUGGGCCAACACUGACACUGAGGAGCGAAAGCCAGGGGAGCAAACGGG